rnacentral:rRNA from 1 species
AUUGAACGCUGGCGGCAUGCCUUACACAUGCAAGUCGAACGGCAGCACGGGGCAACCUGGUGGCGAGUGGCGAACGGGUGAGUAAUACAUCGGAACGUGCCCAAUCGUGGGGGAUAACGUAGCGAAAGUUACGCUAAUACCGCAUACGAUCUACGGAUGAAAGCGGGGGAUCGCAAGACCUCGCGCGAAUGGAGCGGCCGAUGUCAGAUUAGGUAGUUGGUGGGGUAAAGGCUCACCAAGCCAACGAUCUGUAGCUGGUCUGAGAGGACGACCAGCCACACUGGAACUGAGACACGGUCCAGACUCCUACGGGAGGCAGCAGUGGGGAAUUUUGGACAAUGGGCGCAAGCCUGAUCCAGCCAUUCCGCGUGCAGGAUGAAGGCCUUCGGGUUGUAACUAGCUUUGUUACGGUACGAAACGGUAC